CCCUUUGCACAGUGGCAGUAUCAUAGCCAAUGAGGGUUAUCUGAGCCGCGAUUAUUGCUAAUAGAAUACUAAAGAUGCAGUAUUAUCCCUGAGAAAAUUUUCUAAAAUACUAAAAAGUA
rnacentral:snRNA from 1 species